rnacentral:rRNA from 1 species
UACAGAGGUCCCAAGCGUUGUUCGGAUUCACUGGGCGUAAAGGGUGCGUAGGUGGCCAGGUAAGUUUGGUGUGAAAGCUCGGAGCUUAACUCCGAAAAGUCAUUGAAUACUAUCUGGCUGGAGGGUCGGAGGGGAGACUGGAAUUCUCGGUGUAGCAGUGAAAUGCGUAGAUAUCGAGAGGAACACCAGUGGCGAAGGCGGGUUUCUGGCUCGGACCUGACGCUCAGGCGCGAAAGCGUGGGGAGCAAACAGG